rnacentral:misc_RNA from 1 species
UGAUUGAGAAAGAGAUAAUAUUGGGUCUCAAAAAUAGAAACAUUUCCUGAAACCACAUUUCAUACUAGAAAAAUUACCUGAAACCACAUUUGACAUCUCAUAAAUAUUUUAACUCAAUCAAAUGGGGAAAAAUGAAAAGAGAAAAGAAUAUUGCUCAGUUGAACUGCUAGUAGCAUAUAACUCAAUAUCACAAAGUUUAGAUAGUUUCUUUUCCAUUUUAGGCCUCCCCUUAUCUUAGAGUAUAAUAGGUCUGCAAAUACUUGAAUAAUCAAUGAUUCAAUAUUUGCAUUUAUUGACUGUCCAAACUCAUUGCCUUAUCCUCACCUGUACUUCUCUUUGAUAUGCUGCCACUUAUGAGUCCAAAUUUGCUAUUUUUGCCUAUCACCAUUUGACCCUUCAUAAGCAAAUUAACUGCCUCUUUCACCAGAACUUCAUAUAUUACAUUAUAACUAGAGACAAAGCAUUUAACUGAGGCGCUUAUCACUAUGCUUAAGGAUGAAUAUAGCCAGCAUACUCCUCUUUUUUUAUGGCAUAAACAAGAAAACCACAACAAUCAAGGCCUUAAAUGAUUUGAUGAUCCUAAUGCCG